CACAGAAAAGAAAAGAAAAAACAAUGAAACCAAAGAAAACCGAUGAAACCCAUAAGAAAGAAAUCAGAACAUAAAGAAAUAAAAACAAAUUAAAACCUGUUAAACCAUACACAAAACACAUGAAAAAGAAAUAGCUAAACAAUUGAAAACCAAAGAACAUGUAUGAAAGAUGUAAUUUAAGAAAAACAAGUAGUACCAAAGAAAAUCAAUGAAACCCAUAAAGAAAAAACAAGGAAAAAAGUUAGAUAAGAAAAUUAGUGAAAACCAUAAUUAAAAACACGG
rnacentral:lncRNA from 1 species